GAGAAGACAUUGUGUCUUCGAGUCGUUGAUUUCACACUGCCGAGAAAAGCCUCUAGAUAGAAAAUAGGUGCCCGUACCGCAAACCGACACAGGUAGUCAAGAUGAGAAUUCUAAGGUGAGCGAGCGAACUCUCGUUAAGGAACUCGGCAAAAUGACCCCGUAACUUCGGGAGAAGGGGUGCUCUUUAGGGUUAACGCCCAGAAGAGCCGCAGUGAAUAGGCCCAAGCGACUGUUUAUCAAAAACACAGGUCUCUGCUAAACCGUAAGGUGAUGUAUAGGGGCUGACGCCUGCCCGGUGCUGG
rnacentral:rRNA from 1 species